CAGGAAAUAGUUUAGUUAAAAUAUUAAUUUUGGGGAUUAAAGAUAGAGGUUUAUUUUUUCCUGA
rnacentral:tRNA from 1 species